rnacentral:rRNA from 1 species
CCUGACGACGCAACGCCGCGUGAGGAUGAAGACUUUCGGGUCGUAAACUCCUUUCGACCGAGAUGAAUUCCCGCCGGCUAACAUGCCGGCGGGUGACAGUAUCGAGGGAAGAAGCCCCGGCUAACUCCGUGCCCAGCAGCCGCGGUAAUACGGGGGGGGCAAGCGUUGUUCGGAAUUACUGGGCGUAAAGGGUUCGUAGGUGGCCAACUAAGUCAGACGUGAAAUCCCUCAGCUUAACUGGGGAACUGCGUCUGAGACUGGAUGGCUCGAGUGCAGGAGAGGAACGCGGAAUUCCAGGUGUAGCGGUGAAAUGCGUAGAUAUCUGGAGGAACACCGGUGGCGAAGGCGGCGUUCUGGACUGCAACUGACACUGAGGAACGAAAGCCAGGGGAGCAAACGGGAUCAGAUACCCCGGUAGUCCUGGCCCUAAACGAUGAAUGCUUGGUGUGGCGGGUAUCGAUCCCUGCCGUGCCGCAGUUAACGCGUUAAGCAUUCCGCCUGGGGGGUACGGUCGCAAGGCUG